rnacentral:rRNA from 1 species
GCAAGUCGCGGGAGAAAGCCUUCGGGUGAGUAUACCGGCGGAAGGGUGAGUACAAGCUAGUUAACGUACCUUUGGAUCCGGAUAAUUCUUGGAAACUAGUUGUAAAACGGAAUGAGACCACAGGCAGUUUUGUGCUAGGGGUGAAAGUCGCGGGACCCUUCGGGGCCGCGAGCCAUUGGAGCGGCCUAGCCCUGAUUAGCUUGUUGGUGAGGUAAUGGCUCACCAAGGCAAUGAUCAGUAGCCGGCCUGAGAGGGUGUUC